rnacentral:rRNA from 1 species
UGCCUGUUUAUCAAAGACAUAGUAAGAUUUAAUUUUAUAUAUCUGCCCAAUGAUUAUUUUAUAUGGCAUUAAAGUAGCGCAAUAAUUAGUUUAUUAAUUGUAAACCUGAAUGAAAGACAGCAUUUAAAAAAUAUUUUUAGAUCUAUAUAUUUAAAGUUAAACUGUUAGUACAAAUGCUAACUAAAUUUUUAUAGACGAUAAGACCCUAAGAUCUUAACUUAGUUUUACUGGGAUAGUAAAUUUAUAAUAAUACUUAAUUCCCAUUAUUAAAAAACCAUAUAAAUGCUUUAUAAAGGUACCUUAGGGAUAACAGCGCAAACUAUUUUUAAAGCUCACAUUAAAAAAUAUUAGUGACCUCGAUGUUGAAUUAAGUUAACAUAAUGCUGUAGCAAGUAUUAUGUAAAGUCUGUUCGACUUGAAAUACUUACAUGAUUUGAGUUAAAAUCGACGUAAGCCAGAUUGGUUUCUAUCA